GCUGAAUCCGAAUACUCAUACUUAUAGUAUGCAUUUUGUAGUACGCCACAAAUAUAGCGCGUCCGAAUGCUCAGUGUGCAUUGUGUAGUACGGAAAACGUUUCCGAAUGCGUACUACCGCCACAGUAUACAACGGUAGGUCACUACGUUACCAGACGAGUCUGGUAACGGACGAAGAAGAGAUGGCUGACCCGACACUACCAACAGCGGCUUAGAAAGACGUCAUAGAAAGCGGCGAAAAAAAGACAUUAAAAAGAGUAAAAAAGUAAAGUAAGUAAUUAAGUAAAGAGAGACAUUUUUAAUUUAAUAGCAACGAUGACAAGACAGAAAACAGGUAACUUAUCAAGGUAAUUUUGCCGGCAUCUGAGGGGAGACACGUCAUCUCCAAACAUCCGGUGGAGUUAGGCGGUGUUCGGAAGAGUUCAGAGGCGUUCUACGCAUAGCUGUAGACCGUUCUAGGCGUUCUACGCAUAGCUGUAGACCACACUGAACAUAAAUAGUAUGUACUAAGUAUUCGGAUUCAGCCCAGGUAUUACUGAAGGCAUUUAAUGGUCAAAAUAUUAUUAAUAAAUAUUCGAAUAUAUUCGAAUACUAAUAUUAAUAAACAAACGAACUUCGAAUAU